rnacentral:rRNA from 1 species
AGACAGAGGUGGCAAGCGUUGUUCGGAUUUACUGGGCGUAAAGAGUUCGUAGGCGGUUGUGUGUGUCAGAUGUGAAAUCCCAGGGCUUAACCCUGGAAUUGCAUUUGAAACUGCAGGACUUGAGGACAGGAGGGGGAAGUGGAAUUCCCGGUGUAGCGGUGAAAUGCGUAGAUAUCUGGAAGAACACCGGUGGCGAAGGCGGCUUCCUGGACUGUCCCUGACGCUGAGGAACGAAAGCGUGGGUAGCAAACAGGAUUAGAUACCCUAGUAGUCC